UACGGGGGGGGCAAGCGUUGUUCGGAAUUACUGGGCGUAAAGGGCUCGUAGGCGGCCAACUAAGUCGGAUGUGAAAUCCCCAGGCUCAACCUGGGAACUGCAUCCGAUACUGGAUGGCUUGAAUUCGGGAGAGGGAUGCAGAAUUCCAGGUGUAGCGGUGAAAUGCGUAGAUAUCUGGAGGAAUACCGGUGGCGAAGGCGGCAUCCUGGACCGACAUUGACGCUGAGGAGCGAAAGCAUGGGGAGCGAACAGG
rnacentral:rRNA from 1 species